AGAAGACGUAACGGAGCCAAACGUUUGGUCAAAAACACGUAUUUCACCUUUGAAACUAAAGUUAACCAGAAUACUAACAGUUGCUAUUACAUCCGUUGUGUCGAGCACAAAAUCAAACGAUUUGACGUUAUAGGAAACAAUCGAUCACUUGAUGCGACCAAGUUUCUGCUCAUUUCGAGCCGCAAUUGCGAGAAUAAGCUGCCUUCCCAUUCUAUUUUUAAAUCAGCACGAAUGUUAAGAAACUGGACAUUUCAAGAGAUUACGUUGCAGCGGUUGUAUUGUCAAUGAUGAAAAAAAAAAGAAAAGAAAAAAAAAGAGGCUGCAACCCAGGAUUUUUCGACGGUGUUGAUCUCAUCUCGGAGACAUUCGUAACUGGUUCGUGUUUUCAGACAAGCAAGUAGAAUACUGCAUUAUCCCGUAUGCCUCCUUCGAUGCCACUGUCAGUCACAGUUUCUAACAAUAGAAGCCGAGUUGCACCCUAUUCCCGUCACUGCCGUAAAAAGCGUCAAUCUUCUAUUGAUAUCGUAGUUUCCCGGUCACUGUCAAAAUACUGCGCAAUAUUUGCCUCUCGCUCUCUCCCUCUCUCCUGUUUGUCUCUAUUUUUUCUUUUUUUUUAUUUCUUUUUGCCAACUACCCUUUCAAAUGAAUUACAGAAAUAGCAUGGCCGGUGAUAUAUGGAAAUGACGACAAAUUGCCGCUUCCUCUCUCUCAACCGGCCAUUGGUUUCAUAAACCACUCUAACCUUAGAGUGAAAUUAACAUUUUCUUCCCAGACGAAAACUUUCUAUUUACUCGAAUAAAAUGACGCUGUCAUUUUACGUGACAGCAAGCCAGACAUACAGUCACGGGUGUGUGAAUAUAUUUCACUGUUGUUUUUCAUUUUAGUUUUCUUUUUUUUUUUUUUUUUGGCGUGUGUUGUCUACUACUAUCCUACUACCGUGUUAAAGUUUUAGAAAAUGGAAGUGAGAAUUAUUUUUUGUUGUUGUUGCUUGAGCUGACUACUUUGGGCAUAGUAGGAGACAAAGCAAGAUAAACGAACAGUGAAAAACAUACAUUGAAAGAUGCUUACACCCACGUCUGUGUAGAUACAUAAGAUGCUGCCCUGGAUUUACGUCAAUUUAGUGGUAUCGAUUUCGUAUGUUCGGACUUGACGUGUGUUUAUGAUGACAAGGAUCGCAGAACUGAAGAAGACAACUUGAGAUUUCAAAAUAGAGCAUUCAAAAGGCUUCAUGAUAUAGUUUUCCAAAAGAAGGCCAACAUUCUUGAAACUCGAAUUGAAAAAAAAAUUAAAGGAAAUCGUUACAAUUUAUAUAAUAACGUUAAACAAUUGAUACAUAUACCUGCGUAUCAAACGUGCUGCGCAAACUCCGUCAAUCCGUCAUCAUAGAAUCGAUUAGCCUUCGUCUGCUGGUUGCAGCGUGGAAUCCAUCGCAAACCGAUCGAUGACCAGAGUGCCAUUCUGCCAUUAACUUUUAGUAAUUAUUAGAAUAAUGCCAUAAUAACAUUUUCUUUUUAAAUAUAGGAUUUAUGAAAAAUCUUUUUUUUUUUUUUUUUUUUUGUUUUGUGUCAUUUUAUUGGCUCUACGAAUAUAGGAGUCAUUUCAUGAACGUAUUGCCUAUCCUUUUCACACAGUUUUUAGACCAUCAAUCACGCAUAAGUGCGACAAUGAAACCACCGUACGAAAAAAACCAACGACGUUAAAUCUUUCUUCAUUUUUUCCCCCCUUUUUCGCAUGCAGCAGACUUUAAGCCUAUUCGCCUUUUAUUCGUUUAUUGCAGCGGCAGAAUAGAAUUGAUUUAAACUGAAGAAAUCCCAACCGUAGCUGGAGGGGGAAAAAACUGCAUCACAUUAAAAGUCACACGUUUCCAUCACGCAAUUUUCGUUUGAAUUAAAAAGCCCUUCACGAUCGGAUGUCAUACUCGCUCUCGGUUGGUGGCGCGUUGUGGAUGUUGUUUUUCUUCUAUUCCAUUUCUUUGUUAUAGCUAGGUGAUCGGUAGAUGCCUAUAUAAUUGAAUUUAACAGAGGAAAUUUAAUGCUAUCCGUCUAAAUAAAGUCAGCACGUGACUCACUUCAUUUCGAAUCGUACAAGACGGUGUCAUCGCCUUUUCAAAUGUAUCCCAUCGAUUGGACUGUCUAAAUGAUGAAAUGCAACUUUGAGUGAAAUGCAUUCGCAUUACUCGCAAUUAUCGCCCUGCUAACUUUUACGUUAACUUGCCGUUGUAUUAUAUGUAUAUUGAUCUGCCUUAAGUCACCCUCGCUGUGCUGCUCUCUCGCACACAGCCAUUUUAAGUGAUGAAGGCAUAGCAUAAUAUUCCAUCAUCAAAAAUGUGACACAACAAACUUUAGAAGAAAAAAAACAAACAAAAGUUUGUGGUUAUUGGUUGUUAAAGCUAUUGGCCGUUGAUUGAUGAUGUCAUUCUCGGUUGUUUGAUGAUGUAUAUAAUAACUUGUUGAUGGUCAACCCAAUCUGAUGGAAUUGAAGUAGAUAGAGAACACCAUUUUCUAGGAAUAAUUCAACACUAUUGGCUGUUAGAUAAGGGGAACACAAAAUCAAAAUCAAUUAUAAAACUGUCGGUAAGAAAUGUGUCCUAGCUUAUUUUCUGAAUACAUUUAAACAACGAGAUUUUCUGCGCCCAGGAUGUACAAAAGUUUUUCAAUUUCGGUUAAAAUUCAAAUGUCAGUUUUAAACUUGGAUUCUAUAGACACUAUACCUGUUAUGUGCAGUUUUGAUUAAUUUCUCUUUUUUUUUGCUGGUGUAAUGGCGGAUAUUUUAAAAAGAAAAUCCAAACUUUUUUGGUUUUGUUGAUUUAUGGAGAAAAAAAAACCCUGAAACAAGAACUGGGAAUCUUUAUUUAUAAUGUUUCGGGCUUCUAUCUUUGCGAAACCUCCUUGCGCAAUAGUGUUACGAAUAAGUAAGCUCAUUUGUCUACGCUGCCCCAUGCAAAUAAGGUUUCCUCGGUAAUCCAUUGAAAUGUGCGCGCUGAUAAAAUGUACAAAAAAUGUAAAUAGAAAGGAUAGGGUCGGGGCACUUUCGUAUCGUCUAGCUCCGUAAUAAAAUAAUUCGGCAGAUGAGCUGGGAGAGUCUUCUCUAAUUUGAUUAAAAACGGGACAGUAUUCCGCCCUGGCAACGCUGCGACCAGUUGGUACAUUUCUGGAUGUCUACAGUGUAGUGAAAACAACUGUUUGGCCGGCAUAUGUACGUACGUACAGUACUAUAUACUGUAAAUAAAGGGAUGUUCCCCACAGUUAAAGAGAGGAGGGAAGGGAUGGAGAAACGGAAUGCACCAUAUCUUUAAAUAGAGCUAGAAUUACGUCUAAUGGGCUGUAAUUUCAUAUCUGUUUCUAUGGAAAAUCUAUAUUGACAGUUUCGUGUCACCUUGCUCCUAUCUCACACGUCGAUUGCUGAGCACAUGAAUGAAUAAGAAGCGCCUCUCUUCACAAGUGGUUGUACCAACCCCUUGAUCCGUGUAGCCAAAUCAAACACCCAACGAUUAGCAGUAAAAAAUCCAAUGAGAAAACAGAAAAAUGAAAGGCUACGCCUUCCUUAGAUUUGAACUCCUGGAAUACACAACAUGGUUGUAGACAGACAUUAUCUUGCGAAAUAAAGAUAGAGUACGACUGUUUUGGCUGAUUGCAAACAAUCAACAUUAUACAUCGAGCUGCACACAGAAAUCCAUGCAACGUGUGUUUAUUUAAUAGCCACUAUACGAAUGUACAUAGUGACUGCGGCAAUCCGCUAUUGAAAUGACUAUCUAAAAGUAAAGGGGAUGCAGAUACCUUUCUUGUUUGUUCAUCCACCGGUGAAAUGACUUUCAUCCCGCUGGUCAAGGCCUUAAAAAAAAUAUAUAGCAAAGCCUGCAGGGCAAGAUCGGUGUUCCAGCACACUUGCGAGCUAGAAGAAUGAGCUUGGCAGAGAAGCAAGCGAGGCCAUAUAAGGCUACUUCGAUAGACGACUCGAGAAAAUCUUUAACCCAUGCAAGUUUAUCGUACAAAACAGAAAGAGAAAAGAAAAAGAAAAAAAAAAGACAUGGAAGUGGCCGACGUAAUACCACCAUAUACAGCAAGCGUGACGUAGUGCUCAGAUUUUUAUCUCUCCCCACCUGAGUGAAUGAAUUUUCUUUAUGCUGCAUGCGGCUAAAAAUUCAUUGACACUAAUGCAGCCAUUGGAGGCUGGUGUUAACUAACUCUUUGCCACGGUUAUUGGUUGGCGCAUACCGCAUCAGCAUAUUUGAACAAAAAAUAAAUAAAAUCCCGCCAUCCCAUUUGAAAUAAUUGGCCGCGUGCAAAUUUAUGUUUAUUUUUCAUCUCACUAAAACUUGCUGUCGCAUACGGUGCGAAUAGCUGUUUUGUGUGCCGUGUUAAAAGGUUAUUAUUAUUUUUUUUUUUCAGACUUUUCAUUUUUGGACGACAAGAGACGCUUUUUCCUUGACCUAAUCGGGUCAUUCAGUUCAAAACAUUUCUUGGAUUUUCUUUCCCAGUUGCCGCAACAUUAUGCGAUCAUCCAAUUUGAAAGUGUAUAGCUCGAGAAAGCUUUUACAUUUCACAUUUUUUUUUCUUUCUUUCCCCCCCUUUUUUUAUUUUCUUUGGCCGCAAUUGUACGUGACGGUGGUUUCAAAUUGUCAAAGUGUUUUCAAAAAAGCUGGCUUGAGUCCGCUUGAGUCCGCUUGAGUCUACUCCGUUUUUAUUGCAUAUUUGCACAUCUCCCAAAGGGCGACAGUUCCAAGCAUUGUUCACCCACGCAACAUUGUUGACGACAACCGAGACAUUCUACAAAUGUGCGGUACACACUUAACGUAACGUUUGGCCUCAAAAGUCAAUCAACGACGUUGUUUGCGAGAGUCUUGUUCGAUUUCUUCGUAAUUCACGAAACAGACACUUUUAGCAGCGACACGUGUGCGUCAUCUAUUUAGGAAAUAUAAUGACAGCAAGAUGACACACUGACGUGAGAGAAAGUAGCUUCAUAUAAUAGGUCGUUCGGCAAAACGACAAAGGUAUGGUUGUCUUUACGGUAAAAAGAGGACACACAUGCCAUGACCUUCUCCCGUCUUAUGCUCUUCCAUUUUCAUUGUUCUUCGUCAUGUGCUCAUCCAUUUAUACAAGGAUGAAAAGACGAAUGUCGUUAAUACUUUCUACACAAGGUUGCCAUACAACGAAAGCUAUGGCACUUUCCUGCGUUAAACAAGAACGAAGAUACUAAACAGCUGGUAGUUGUAUGUUGUGCGUUUAGCAUCGUAGAACCUGAGCAGUCCGAUCAACUGGUAAAAUGGUUACUCAGUAUAUGGCCGGCAACAAGUCAUACGAAUAACAAAAUCAAUCACCGUGUUACGGUGAAGGGGUGGAGGAGUAAAACGAACCCAAGUGAAACGUUUUGGCCUUGCUCUUUUUUUAAAUCAAAAUAGCUUUUGAUUGUGACAAGAGACACAGGAAAAUGACAUUAGGUCUCAUUUUUCCCUUAGCGAUUACUAGGUACCCAUGUCUUGCAUCCGCCCACCUAUUUUUGUCUCGUUUAUUAUUAUUAUUAUUAUUAGUAUUAUUUAUUUCGUUUCAAAAAAUGAAUCGUUUCAUCUGUAUAGUUGGCGUUCAUCAUCGUCUAUCGAUCUAUCCGACCGUCAUGUCUGGGUGAGCACGAGUUGUCGGUGCUUGCCUUACCGAACAAAAAAUCAAUGGGGUAUAGGCUUCGCUUCCGUAUAUAUUCGACUCGGGUUUGCGCACGCAACGGCUAUAGUCAAAAGCCUUUUCUGCUGCUGCUUUGCUGGCUGGCUGGCUCGCUUUGCUACUUCUUCGUCAGCGGCGCUCUAGUCUUUCCUUGCAACAAGGCAACACUCGACCUGCGCCUCUUUUUCCUUCCUCUACGUAUUGAUUUGCUACCCAUCCCUAGAACCACCUGGAUGACGCGCAGCGGAUAAUGUAUAUCGUACGUACGGAGGACGACGACGACGACGACGACGCUGAUGGACCCUCCAUUUUCCCCCGACUGCAUCUAGUCAAUUAUCAAGGGUUUACACCUUUUGUCAAGCAUAAUUUUCAUAGUUCAUCAAAGUUUGUAGCUAUAGAAGCCUUUACAACCAUGUUUUGGAAAGCAAUGCCGUUAUGUAUUAUUAACGUGCAUUGCUGGGUAUAUAAUAAUUGGGGGAGGGGGAGAAUCAAAGAGCAGAGCGUUAGGCCGUUUGAUCACGACCCUGACUGGCCUUAUUUCAUCAGAUGGACAUUUUUAUUCCUUCUUUGGCCCGGUAUAGUCUCAUGGACAAAGUAUGUCUAUCCCCUUCUACAGUUGUGGCCUUUUUUUUUUUUUUACGCAUAUGGAUAGCAAGGUUUUUUUUUUUAUUCGCCAUCUCGCAUUCUCUUGUUUCCUGCGGCGAAAAAAGAAAAAGAAAUGGAGAGUCAUCAUCGACGGCAUCAAUAUUAUUUUCUAGGAGUUACCAACGACAAAAAAAGAAAGAAAAAAGGAAUUAACGUACAGUACGUAUGCGGUUAGGGUUUCGUCUUCGAGACAUUCCUAUUGGACUCUUUCUUACAAAAAAAAAAAGGAAAAAGGAAACGUCUUACGUGCGUCUGGAAAACCAAAACAUAUUCUUGUGUUUUCGCCAUGGCAGACGAACGCGUGCAACAAUAGUAAUAGAUGCCAUACCGCCGUUAUUUAGGGCAAGGAUAGAAAAA